GACGGAGGAUGCAAGCGUUAUCCGGAAUGAUUGGGCGUAAAGCGUCCGCAGGUGGCAGUUCAAGUCUGCUGUCAAAGACCGGGGCUUAACUUCGGAAAGGCAGUGGAAACUGAACAGCUAGAGUAUGGGAGAGGGCAGUGGAAUUCCCGGUGUAGCGGUGAAAUGCGUAGAUAUCGGGAGGAACAUCAGUGGCGAAGGCGGCUGCCUGGCCCAAUACUGACACUCAGGUGCGACAGCGUGGGGAGCAAACAGG
rnacentral:rRNA from 1 species